rnacentral:rRNA from 1 species
AAUGAACGUUGGCGGCGUGGAUUAGGCAUGCAAGUCGAACGGGUCCGGUCUUCGGAUCGGGCCAGUGGCGCAAGGGUGAGUAAGGCGACGGUAACCUACCCCAUGGUCGGGCAUAGCCGCGGGAAACUGCGGGUAAUUCCCAGCGACGUCGGUCUCGGGCCUCCGAGGCCGACCAAAGCUCCGGCGCCGUGGGACGGGCCGUCGUGGUAUUAGGUCGUUGGCGGGGUAAUGGCCCACCAAGCCUGUGAUGCCUACCGGGCGUGCGAGCGUGGCCCGGCACACUGGGACUGAGACACUGCCCAGACUCCUACGGGAGGCUGCAGUCGAGAAUCUUCGGCAAUGGGCGCAAGCCUGACCGAGCGACGCCGCGUGGAGGAUGAAGGCCUUCGGGUUGUAAACUCCUGUCGAGGGGGAGGAAGGCGCAAGCUUGACCGAUCCCUGGAGGAAGCACGGGCUAAGUUCGUGCCAGCCGCCGCAGUAAAAC